rnacentral:rRNA from 1 species
AACGAACACUGGCGGCAUGCCUAACACAUGCAAGUCGAACGAGACCUUCGGGUCUAGUGGCGCACGGGUGCGUAACGCGUGGGAACCUGCCCUUAGGUUCGGAAUAACUCCCCGAAAGGGGUGCUAAUACCGGAUAAUGUCUUCGGACCAAAGAUUUAUCGCCUUUGGAUGGGCCCGCGUUGGAUUAGCUAGUUGGUAGGGUAAAAGCCUACCAAGGCGACGAUCCAUAGCUGGUCUGAGAGGAUGAUCAGCCACACUGGGACUGAGACACGGCCCAGACUCCUACGGGAGGCAGCAGUGGGGAAUAUUGGACAAUGGGCGAAAGCCUGAUCCAGCAAUGCCGCGUGAGUGAUGAAGGCCUUAGGGUUGUAAAGCUCUUUUACCCGGGAUGAUAAUGACAGUACCGGGAGAAUAAGCUCCGGCUAACUCCGUG